UACGUAGGGUGCAAGCGUUGUCCGGAAUUAUUGGGCGUAAAGAGCUCGUAGGCGGUUUGUCGCGUCUGCUGUGAAAACUCGGGGCUUAACUCCGGGCCUGCAGUGGGUACGGGCAGACUGGAGUGCGGUAGGGGAGACUGGAAUUCCUGGUGUAGCGGUGAAAUGCGCAGAUAUCAGGAGGAACACCGGUGGCGAAGGCGGGUCUCUGGGCCGUAACUGACGCUGAGGAGCGAAAGCGUGGGGAGCGAACAGG
rnacentral:rRNA from 1 species